AUUGAACGCUGGCGGCAGGCCUAACACAUGCAAGUCGGGCGGAGCGGCGGACGGGUGAGUAAUGUAUGGGGAUCUGCCUGUUGGAGGGGGAUAACUACUGGAAAAGGUAGCUAAUACCGCAUACCAUCAGCUGACCCCAUAUGGGAUUAGCUUGUAGGUGAGGUAACGGCUCACCUACGCGACGAUCCCCAGCUGGUCUGAGAGGAUGAUCAGCCACACUGGGACUGGUACACGGCCCAGAUUCCUACGGGGGGCAGCAGUGGGGAAUAUUGCACAAUGGGCGAAAGCCUGAUCCAGCCAUGCCGCGUGUGUGAAGAAGGUCUUCGGAUUGUAAAGCACUUUAAGUUGGGAGGCGUUACCAACAGAAUAUGCACCGGCUAACUUCGUGCCAGCAGCCGCGGUAAUUC
rnacentral:rRNA from 1 species